CUAAAGGCUCUUUUAAGAGCCACCCCCGUUUUCCUAGAAGGAGCCG
rfam:Amazona aestiva scaffold_1371, whole genome shotgun sequence.